UGGUUGUGUGUCUUCCCCUUUUUUGUCAGAAUGCAGUUCUGCUUCUAUGAGUGUAGUGGCUCAAAAUUGGUAGGUUCAAUUCAUUGCUCUUUUAGUUUAACUCUUUCUCAAGGUUGUGUUUUUGUAUGGUGUGUGUGUGUGCAUGCGCGCACGGGGUUGGGUGUCCUCCCCAUUUUUUGUCAGAAUGCAGGUCUGCUUCUGUGAGUGUAGUGGCUAAAAUUGAUAGGUUCAAUUCACUGCUCUUUUAGUCUAACACUUUCUCAAGGUUGUGUUUUUUGUAGUCUGUGCGUGUAUGUGUGCGCGCGUGGUUGUGUGUCUUCCCCUUUUUUUGUCACAAUGCAGUUCUGCUUCUAUGAGUGUGGUGGCUAAAAAUGGUGUACACUGAUGACAGCCCACCACAUCCAAAGCAAUUCAAGAGGGCAAAUUCAAAACCAGAAAUACAUACACCGGUCCCACCUGUGAUCCUGAAACUUGAAAAGACUGCUGCAAAACUACACCCUUUUGGUACUGAUAUAGGUCAAGCCUCGCAUAACAAUGAUGAUGAAACAAAACUCCCACAACCAAACAAGGGGAACACCUCGGAGCUCAAGGCUUCUGAACGUGUUGCAGGUCUGCGCAACUGUGCAGCCCAGAUCCAAGCAGCCAUAGAAUGCUAUGAGAUUUUGGAAAAUAAUCUCAAAAUGCUUACUAAGCGUAAAGAAGCGUUGGACAAUUAUUGCGAGCGUUUACUAGGUAAGCUAUCGGGUUUGGAUGAACUGCUGAGUUUUAUUAAAAAUAAGUUCCAGUAUCCACGUGGUAUUAAUGUUAUACCACAGGGUAGAGGUAUGAAUAUAUGUCACAAAGGUGGGGGCAGGAAAUCAAUACGCCCCUGGUUAAGAAGCCGGUAUCUAUAUAGACGCAUUAAAAUGAUUAAAAAGUGGCAAAAAGCCAUGUCUAAACACUCAAAUAAAAGGGUGGGGGGUGGAGUGCAAAUAUUUCACAACCACCCCCUGUAGAACCAGAGGCCGUAGAAGCGCCUGGUCUCCAACAGAUGCUGGUCUCCAACAGAUUGUGGUGGAAAAUUCAGGUAUCGUUCGAGAUAACAGGCGCUGGAACCCUUGAAAUGACAACUCUCAGAAAAUCCUUGAGGGUUGUGUAUGACAAGAGGGUGAUUACAGAAGGCUUUAAAACUCUAUCUUACAGUUUUUGAAUGGAUACCCAUCAGCAACACCCCUUCUCUGCUAUUCUAGCAGGGCCUAGUAACUGUGGCAACAGUUUUUUCAUUAAAAAUAUGCUGGAUAAUGCUCAUACGGUUCUCUCUGUUGUACCUGAAAAUGUUGUUUGGUGCUACAACUGUUGGCAGCCCUUGUAUAGAGCGCUUCUCUGUAAAUACCCGUUUAUUAAAUUUUUAGAAGGUUUGCCUGAGAAACCUAAUGAUGAUGAAUUGUUACCCCCAAAUAAAAUAAACCUUCUUAUA